AGAAUUUUCCGUCGAAAAUGUUCGGUUCAAUUCAACCGAAUUGGUUCAACUUACCUUGGAUCUUCUCGGCAAUAAUUGCAAUGACUUUAAAACAGCUAAAAAUCAUGAUUUUUUUGAUUAAUUUAAAUAAAUCAGUGAUUUUUUAUUUUUUUAAUAAAAAUAAAUUUUUGCCCAACACUGUUUCACAGAACCAUGGUUUAUGAGUCCCACAAACAACCAUACAGUUUAUGUGUUUGCUGAAAAUUCUCACCUCUUAAAAUUGACCAGAAAUAAUUUUUAAGAUUAUGGAUUUAUAAUUAAUGAUUUUAAGAAAAAUGGACAAACCGUUGAUAUUUCACAUAAUUAAAGCAGUAGAGGAAGCCGGAUUCUAUGUUUGUGCCAUCGUCAGCGACCUAGGCGGCAGUAAUAGGGGUCUUCAUAAAAACUUGAAUAUUACUUUCACAGAACCAUGGUUUAUGAGUCCCACAAACAACCAUAAAGUUUAUGUGUUUGCUGACGUUCCGCACCUCUUAAAAUUGACGAGAAAAAAUUUUUUAGAUUAUGGAUUUAUAAUUUAUGAUUGUAAUAUAGAUAAAACUACAAUUCUUAAAGUACUAGAGCUGACAUCUGAGUCAGAUUUAAAGAUAAGUCAUCAAAUAAAUCCACAAUUAUUAAAGGUCGAGGGGCCUCAAAGGCAAAAAGUUAAGUUUGUAGCUAAGCUUUUUUUCCAUGCAUGUCCCAGUCUAUUAAAAGAUGUGGAACAAUAGGUUAUUUUGGAGAGAAUGAGUCCUGGAUAUAGUGCGCUAAGUUUUUUAAAUUGGUAAGAAUUUGACUUAAACUUAUUUUUUCAUUUUUUGGUAGGUUAACGACUGGUUUGAUUGUCUCAAUCUGAGAGUGCCACAUUCAGACACAAAAGAAAGGGUACACGCCUAUGGGCUCCAUUUGGACCUACAAAAUGGUAUACUGGAGGAAAUGUCAAAUAUUAUGAGUAGAAUGAAAGUAAAAGGAAAAACGUCUAUGAUGCCAUUCCAAAAAGGAACGCUUUGGACUUCGCUACGUUUUGACAUAUAAGUUAAAUCAAGACAAAUUAGAAUUUUUUUUUGGAGUAAUACGACGAAUUGGAGGCUUGUAUGAUCAUCCAGACAUUUUGGAAUUUAAAUAGCGACUGAGAAGCAAAUAUUCUUGGCAGAAAUAAAGGAUCUAUUACGGAAGAAGGCAAUACUGAAGAUGAUCAAAUAAGAGACAAUUUAUUACCAAAUGUUGGAGAAGCUUUGCUAAGUGCUAAUUGUUUUGCGUCAUUGGUAGAAGUACAACCCGUUCCAGUGGAGACUGAAGAAGAUAAUUUACCAGAUGAUACAAGUCAGUUAAAAUAUGAUGCUUUAGAACAUAUAAAUGGAUUUAUAUGUAAGAAGCUAAACCUAUCUUCAGUAGAAAGCACUUUACAUUACGUGGACGGACCAACUCUCCGAGGGUGGCUUAUGAAAACCUUCAGCCGAGCUAGUAAGCGAAAUAUAAAAAUUAGAAGCCGUAUUCAACAGUGUUAAUGGAGAAACCAUUAGAAUAGUUACACUAUUUACAGGAUAUGAUUAAUCGCUCUAAUCAUGUUAAUUGCGAUGAGCAGGUCAAACGUCUAUUUUUGAGAUCCAGAAUGUACUUUAGAAUCAAGAAUUUAAACAAUGCGUUAAGGGACACUGGAAAACCAACCAAACGAAAAAUAUCGAAAAGUCAAAUAAACUGCAAUUGAGUUGUACCACUGCUCAAAAUACCACUAUACUUACACUGCUCAGUAAUUCUCACAAUAUUUUAAGAAAUAUUUCGUUCCUUUCAAGGAUUUAUGAUUUUAACCUUAGUAAAAUAGUAUAAGUUGGUGUAUGCGCUGAUAGAACGUAUAGUAUUAUAGGUAAUUUAACAUGUUUAUAAAGUAUUAAACGUUUUUCCUCGUA